GUAGUGGCUCCACACUGCUGCCCGACCCCCGACCCGGCAGCGGUGUGGGGCCUCUUG
rfam:Rhodococcus sp. CTA-806 NODE_57_length_56172_cov_4.54051_ID_113, whole genome shotgun sequence.